CCUACGGGUGGCAGCAGUGAGGAAUAUUGGUCAAUGGACGAGAGUCUGAACCAGCCAAGUAGCGUGAAGGAUGACUGCCCUAUGGGUUGUAAACUUCUUUUAUAUGGGAAUAAAACGUUCCACGUGUGGGAUUUUGUAUGUACCAUAUGAAUAAGGAUCGGCUAACUCCGUGCCAGCAGCCGCGGUAAUACGGCGGAUCCGAGCGUUAUCCGGAUUUAUUGGGUUUAAAGGGAGCGUAGGUGGAUUGUUAAGUCAGUUGUGAAAGUUUGCGGCUCAACCGUAAAAUUGCAGUUGAAACUGGCAGUCUUGAGGACAGUAGAGGUGGGCGGAAUUCGUGGGGUAGCGGGUAAAUGCUUAGAGAUCACGAAGAACUCCGAUUGCGAAGGCAGUUCACUGGACUGCAACUGACACUGAGGCUCGAAAGUGUGGGUAUCAAACAGGAUUAGAUACCCUUGUAGUC
rnacentral:rRNA from 1 species